AGAAAGCCAAAUUUUUCCCUACAUCAAGUGAUGGACUGACUGAAACUGCUACUACUAGCAAGAGUCCCUCAUCAGUGUUAAGUUCAUCUUUCCAAAAUAAUACAGACAGCAGUGAUUCUGAAGCUGGGGUGGAAGAAAUAGAGUUUACAAUUUCAGAUAAUGAGCAAGAAAAUGAGGAAAAUUUGAGUUUACUCAAAUCCAAAGGGCUUUCAUUAUCCCUGGCUUCACUAUACUCAGAUGCUGAUUUACAAAAAGUUAAACCUGACAGACAAAG